rnacentral:lncRNA from 1 species
UGCUGCAUCACUCCAGGAAUUAUUAUUAUCUUUUUUUUUUUUUUUUUGAGAUGGAGUCCUGUCCUUUAUGUUCAAAGAAGUCUCUAGACCUAUUUUAUAACCUGUAUUCUUCUGAUUAGAGUUUGUAAACCAGUCUUUUUUUUUUUUUUUUUUUUUUUUUGCUAUGGUUGUGAAGCAACUACGACACAGAUUUAAUGCUGCUACUCAUCCAGAUGACAGUGAGGUGAGGGGACUAGGGACAAUUUUU